GGCCAAAAUCAUAUAGGAAUAAAACUGAUAAUUCACUUAAAAUAACACUGCCGCUGAGGGCACCAGUUAGCGAAACUUACGCAGGGCAACGAUCCAAGUCCAGACAAGAAUCGCCGUUUGUGCAUUUUAUUCCAAUAACAAAGUACAAUGAACAGGUUUCCUAUAUCUCUUUUCCUUUAGCCUUUCCUUUGUGUGGCUUCAAAGACCCUGGUAAAAAAAACCUGUGCCACCUGGUGCUCUAAUCCCACCACCACCUGUCUCCAAUAUAUACAAUUACACCUGGUGCUCUAAUCACCAAGUGCACAAACAUGCCUUCAAAAUAAAAGCAUAGAAACUACUUUAACUCACUUCGAUAGCAACAAUAACUAAGAAUACAUUUACUAUAAACAAUAAUAGCAAGAAAAUAAAUGUUUAACUCUUAAAUAAUAUAAAGCGAUAUAUAGCUCCAACACCCUCCAGUACAGUACGGU